rnacentral:rRNA from 1 species
GGUUAAGCGACUAAGCGUACACGGUGGAUGCCCUGGCAGUCAGAGGCGAUGAAGGACGUGCUAAUCUGCGAUAAGCGUCGGUAAGGUGAUAUGAACCGUUAUAACCGGCGAUUUCCGAAUGGGGAAACCCAGUGUGUUUCGACACACUAUCAUUAACUGAAUCCAUAGGUUAAUGAGGCGAACCGGGGGAACUGAAACAUCUAAGUACCCCGAGGAAAAGAAAUCAACCGAGAUUCCCCCAGUAGC